AUUGGUGAUACUACUGAACCCAUUCCUGAUGCCAUAACUUCUGCAAUGUCAAAGAGAUCACAUGCAUUAUCAACCGUAGAAGGAUAUAGUGGUUAUGGAGCUGAACAAGGUGAAAAGCCAUUAAGAAGUGCAAUUGAUUAAAC